rnacentral:rRNA from 1 species
CCUACGGGUGGCAGCAGUGGGGAAUCUUGCGCAAUGGACGAAAGUCUGACGCAGCCACGCCGCGUGAGUGAAGAAGGCCUUCGGGUUGUAAAGCUCUGUCGGGAGGGACGAAAAUACAUUAGGUUAAUAGCCUAGUGUACUGACGGUACCUUCAAAGGAAGCACCGGCUAACUCUGUGCCAGCAGCCGCGGUAAUACAGAGGGUGCAAGCGUUGCUCGGAAUCAUUGGGCGUAAAGGGCAGGUAGGUGGUCUCGUUUGUCUGAGGUGAAAGCCUUGAGCUUAACUCAAGAAGUGCCUUAGAAACGGCGGGACUAGAAUCUUGGAGAGGGUCGUGGAAUUCCCGGUGUAGCGGUGAAAUGCGUAGAGAUCGGGAGGAACACCAGAGGCGAAGGCGGCGACCUGGACAAGUAUUGACACUCAACUGCGAAAGCGUGGGGAGCAAACAGGAUUAGAUACCCCGGUAGUC